rnacentral:tRNA from 1 species
GCGAGCAUGGUCCAAAGGUAGGGUCCGGGUCUUCCAAACCCUGGGGUGCGGGUUCGACUCCCGCUGCUCGCU